rnacentral:rRNA from 1 species
AACCCUUGUCAUUAGUUGUUACAUUCAGUUGGGCACUCUAAUGAGACUGCCGGUGACAAGCCGGAGGAAGGUGGGGAGUGACGUCAAGUCCUCAUGGCCCUUAUAGGUGGGGCUACACACGUCAUACAAUGGCUGGUACAAAGGGUUGCCAACCGCGAGGGGAGCUAAUCCCAUAAAGCCAGUCGUAGUCCGGAUCGUAGUCUGCAACUCGACUACGUGAAGUCGGAAUCGCUAGUAAUCGUGGAUCAGAAUGUCACGGUGAAUACGUUCCCGGGUCUU